rnacentral:rRNA from 1 species
UACGUAGGGUGCAGGCGUUAAUCGGAAUUACUGGGCGUAAAGCGUGCGCAGGCGGUUUCUUAAGUCAGAUGUGAAAGCCCCGGGCUUAACCUGGGAACUGCGUUUGAAACUGGGAGACUAGAGUGUGGCAGAGGGGGGUGGAAUUCCACGUGUAGCGGUGAAAUGCGUAGAGAUGUGGAGGAACACCGAUGGCGAAGGCAGCCUCCUGGGCCAACACUGACGCUCAUGCACGAAAGCGUGGGGAGCAAACAGG